CGCCGCCGGGGGCCGGGAGCGGGGCCGGGGGCGGGAGCGGGACAUCGCGCCGCACCGAAUCAGCUGGAGCAUCACCCAGCCUUUUCUCCUGAUUUGAGCACAUACUGGAAGAAUGAAGCUGAUAGGAUCAGUGACACAGCGACAGUUCUCUACAGUUAAGACUCUGUUCUCAUCCCAGGUGCUUUGAGUCAGAAGAUAAAUGGAAUGAGUGCUUACAACAGAGGGCCCAUCUGCUCCUGCAUUUUUUUCCUCAUGGUUAGUAUAGACAUGAUUAUGAUGCAGUGAACAGGAGAUGAUGACUUCAACGGAGAGAGGAGCCAUGGCAGGCACACUGUUCAUUGAAAAUCUUCCUGAAGUCUCAUUCCCCUGGUGCAGUCACCCUGCAGUGCUGGCAGCCCCUCAGCCAGAGGCAGAGGGCAUCUCUUACUUUGAGCUGUUUAGUCUUCUCCUGGAGACUGUGCCGGUAGUGCUGCAACUGUUCCGUGGCUUCAGGCCCAGGCUGCCGGGCCAGGAGUUGCCUCAGCUCCACAUACAGUUUCUCCUUCUCCUAACAAAAAGACAAGAGGAAGAGCUCUUAUAAAACUACUAAGGCAGCAGCACAGCCUGUGAUGAAAUCAAUCUCACUGGAAAUUGGAAUGCAAACAGGAAGAUACGUGGAGAAACAAAUCUGCCUGUGUGUCAGCCUUUCCUCACUAGCCAUAAGGUAUUUAAAGUUGUUGUGAUAGCGAUGGGAGAGCUCACUAAGAGAAACAUCCAGCUAUUUUGAACCACGAAUGAAAUACUCUUAAACACCAUCAUCAGUGAGUACAUUCCACCACAGAGAACCUACAACAGUCACCGGAAGAGUAUCCAGGGCUGGGAAAUUAAUUACUAGCAACUGUGCUUAUCGCAAUCUUUCUUCUUAUGAGCCACACUGCCUUACAUUAAGCAUCGUAGCUUCACCCAACAGGAUGUGAGCAGACUAUAGAAAUGUCACAGAAGUACUGUACAAAAGAAUAACUUCUUCCAAAGAAAAUCCUGCAAGGCACAUGUACACAUGCACACACACACACACACAUAUAUUUAGGUAACCUUUCAGUUUAACUGCAGGGGCUCUGGGAAAGGGAAAGAAAGUAUAAACAGCAACAACAAUGACUACCACAAAUACACCAAGUAAUUUUAUUUCAUCAUGUGUCUCCUCUUCCUUUAUGUUGGAACAGUAAUACUUGUGGGAAUUGGAUAUAGUCAUGCCUGAACAGAAACCACACCAUGGACCCACUUACAGCUCUCUGUACUGAAAUGCAGCUUUCAGUUGUGUUUUGAGGAUGUACUUAUUUUCACUCUGAGGAAUAAAGCUGUGAACAAAGCCACCUUCAUAGAUUUGCACAUUGCAAUAGUUUUAGUAUCUACCCUGUCAAACUAAGAUCACUAUUAUUUAACAUUAUUUAGUAAGAUCACAUCCUCUUCUGGUACCUGGAGAGCUAAAAUUAAAAAGGAGACUAGCAGACAAAAGAUUUAACCGAGGAAGACAAAAAUGCCAAGAAGGAGGUAGGACAGGCAAUUAUUUACACUGGAUUUGACAAAAACCCUUUUAGCUGUCUUUUUUUAAGCUCCAUCUACAACUCUUACUGCAGAAUUCUUCCACUGACGUGGGAAAUGGUACCUCCACGUCAUCUAGAACUGCAACAUUUGCUCCUGCUCAAUAGUUGAGCCAGGAUUUUCAGAAUUGGCUUGCAAUUUUGAAGAUGAAAAAUUUUAGGUGCCCAGUCUUCAAGAGCAUAAGGAGUCUGGAGUUUUUAAACCUCAUCAUUUUCUGAGAACCAUGCACUACAAUGGCCACAAGCUGGGACCCAAAAACAGAAUCACUUGAAAUCAUACAUUACUUUCACAAGCCCUGUCCUUAAACUCUGGAGUUUACUGAGGAAGAGUUUCUUAUAAAUGAAGCUGUGCAUAGUUUAUCUCUGGAAAAAUCAAAGCCCCCGAGACUCAGACUGAAUUUUGCAUAGUGGCAAAAAUUAAAUUCAUGAUUCAUUCUGAGUAGACAGUUGUUAUGCCACAACAAGUGGUUUCCACUACCAGCUUUUCUUUCUGAGGAAGUAAGAUUUUACUGCAAGGUAAAAACAACAGCAAAAGAAAAAUACAUCUUGUCAAAAUCUGACUGGUCAGUAUUAACAUUUCACCCCUGAAUGUAUCAUAGAUUUGUAUUUUGGAAGAGUGUAAUGGUAAUUUGGAUAAAUAUGGAGCAGUAGAUGGAUUGAAGGUCUUAUGUACAAUUGUUUUCCAAUUUUUUUCUCUCCUAACCCUCUACAAUGGCCAAGUAAGCUCUUCAAACAUUGUGCAAUGGUGUGUAUAAUAAUCUCAUUUAGAGACAAAGUGUGCAAUUCUAUUAUAAGGAGAAUCUAUCUUAUGCAACAGAGACUCGUUAGCUGUCCAAUGCAUAUUGUCUCCCUAAUCCAACCAGAUGUCUUAUAAUGCAUAUCCUGUCCUUCCUUGCUAAGCACUGUCCAUUUCUUUUACAUUUAGUCAAUUAAUUUUUCACUGGGUUAGAAGCACCAUAUGUCAGCAAAACAUUAAAAGAAAAUCCUGGAUACUUCUUUCCUCAUCAGCAGAAGUUUGUAUUCACAGGUUGGCAUUUCUAGAAUUUCUGACGUUUAACCUUAGCAUGGAAAAAAAAAUAAAAAUCAAUUAAUUUCAAUUAAUUUUAGAACAGCAACCACCAGAGUAAAUGUAAGUGAGUCGCACGGUACAUGUGGUUCUACCACCAAAAAUACAUUGCUCACAGCAGUUACUUUUAUCUCUACACAUAAGAAAUCAGGAACACCCCCCCAAAAAAUCAGCACAAGUUAAUAAAGAAAAACUUUGUUUUCUAUAAUAGAGUCAAUCCACUAUGAUUGGCUUUCUUUGGCUUGUCGCAGACUGCCUCCCCUCGCACUUCCCUCUGUCCUCACACCAGGCUGCAAUCACAACGUACAUCUUGCCAGAGUUAUGUAGUUUUGAGAUUAAAGGAACUUGGAGUCACAAACACACUGCAAGACACAACACUUCUCCUUGGGGAGGGGAAGGAAGAUCCAUCACAUCUCUCUGUAACUCCAUGGUGUUAAGCCUUCACUGGUAAGAGUAAUGUACAUGAGUUCAGAUCAGGUCUAGGCCAGUAACAAAGCUUUUUUACAUAAUCCUUCCACAGUGAAAUUCCCAUGGAAUUCAGCAGGUGUUUGACUGUAGGAUUGAGCUCAUAAUAAUUGAGUCAAUAAGAUUCACUGAUUUAUGACAUAAAAUAAGACAAGGUGAUGGUGCAGAGAUGUUGGCACAUGCAUUUUGUGUAUGUAGGGCAGGCAGGGACACUCAGAUUGAGGGUUGCAGUCAAAUUUCAGUCAUUCCAAAGAGAAUUUCAGCACCUCAGUGAAUACCUGCUGUAAAAAUUGUGUAAAUAAAACUACAAAUUAUUUUUUAGAAUAGCCCUUCCUGUCUUAGAUUUGUUUUCAGGGGAUUUCUGAGGAGCUCACAGAUCCGCCAUAGGCUCGGCCAUGACAAAAAGUUUCUUCAUCUCUAAGUCUCUCACCCACUAAUUUGGAGGGGGAAGGUGUGGAAGUGAGUGGUGCUUUCCCCUAAAUUUAACUAGGUGUUGUCUCAGCCAUAUUCAGUAUUUCUCCUGGCCUGUUUUCUCUACAGCAAAUUGAGAAAAAAUAAUUUUCUUCUGCAGAAGACUGGCUCAUGCUUGGCAAAUUUCACUUGAUUCUCCAGGAUCAAGUGGUCACAAGUUUGCUCAGUCUACAGCAGAAGAAUAACUUUUGCCAGCAAAAUCCUACUUCAGAAGAAGCUAUUGCUGCUGACCAGAACAGCCUGAUUUGUUUUUCCCAGUGAGAAGAACCAUCAGCACCAUCAGACACAUUUCCCAAAGUGACAGCAAGGCAUUCACUGCUUAGACAGGGAGUGGGAGGCAGUCAUCAGUUCCAGGCUGGAAUAGACCAUGGUAUUUGGCAUUAGCUCUAAAGAUGUGACUCUAUUUUAUGUCAUCCUGUCCCUCACCAUGACACCAGGAAACUCCUGAAAUGAUUCAUCUUGUUAAUUAGACCAGGGUUUCAUUCUGAGCCAGAGACAAUGGACAACCAUACAUUUAAUGAAGAUGUAUUCACAGCAGAAAUAGGCCCUGAAGUCCCAACUUCCUCCUUUUUAUCAGAUUGUCUUUCCAAGUAGAUAAUUCAAUAAAUUUACCUGGCAUAGCAGCACCUCAACAGCCUUUUCCACCAGAUCCACAAAAAUCCUAUUUUGCAUGAAAAACUUUCUAUCACACAAAUCAUUCAAACAAACAAACACACACACAAAAAUCCAAAAGCCUUUGACUCAGAGUAAAUUUCAUUUAUGUCAGCUCCUGUCUCCAGCAAUUGAGAGGAAGAAAAAAACCCAACAAGACAAAGAUGUAGUGCAAAAGUGUUCAAUGGAGUGCAUGGCAGCAAACCUUGAAACACUCAGCUCAGCUAAAAAUCCUUAUUUUAAUUAGUGAGGUGGAGAAAGCAAUGUAGUAACUGUGUAAAAUCUUCACAGCUGAAGGAAAGGCUGGGAUAAUCCCAUCUUCGGUGACAUCUGUACCACUCGAGAUGUAGUUAAAAUAAAUCUGUCUUGUAACUUAUACCUCUGAUAAUAAUACUUCUCCAGAGUAAAUCUGUCUCCUCUGACACAAACCAAACUGCACCAAAUUGACUGGCAUUUUCAAAACAUGUUAAUGAGACAGGAAAAAACACCUUGGAGCAUCUUCUAAGUCUUCACCCUUGCCUCUUUUUUUGCAACAUGCAACAGCAAAAGCUGAAUGCUGCUCUAUUACCAUCUUCUAGGAACAACAAAGUAUGAACAUUUCCAGCAGAAGUGCAACUCUAACUUCUUACUAUUUUUAUUAUUAUUGAUAGGUACUGUUACUAUUGGAUCCUUCUUAGGAAGGUUGUGGGAAAACAGGGUUUUUACCCCAAUGAACAAACAAAUAUGUUACAUAUACUCAUCUCCUUUCAGCUUCUGAACUCUGCCAAUCUAUCAGAAGAAAAUGGCAUGGAUGUGUCUUGCUGAAAUAACAGCUGCAUUUCUCUUUUUACUAUGGACAUUAUACAAGAGUUUAUAAAAUCGUUAAUCAGAGUAGCUCUUUUAAUCACAGUGAUAUACUUUACAUUGCAGAAUAUGAUCAAUUAAUUAUCUCCUGCUCUAUAUGUGUGAGCAGAAACAUACACACAUAUGCACACAAAAGAAAAGGGAGCUGUUCAUCAAAAGUGAGAAUUACCCCUGACAAUGACAUGGAUUGAUGUAAAUAUUCCAACUAUUUCCACAGUGCCUGCAGCUUGACAGCUGGGUUGAAGGGAGCUCUAAACAAAUCUUUGUUUCACAUUCUAGUAGGAGUUUGUCUUAAAGUGUCCUGGAGGAGAUUCGGAAGUUGAUACAAAUCUUAUCAGCAAUUUAAAUAUUCUAAGUGAAUAGUCUACAAAGCAAACAAUGGGGAACCUUUUACUGUACAAUAAUGACUUUAUACAGGGUUUCAAGCAAAAGAAAAUUAAGUCUCUUCUUCAAAUCUAGACUAUUUGACCUAAAACCUUUGUAUUAUAAUGUCAGUGUAACAGCAUGUAAUUUAGCUAUUCAAUAGCCCUUUAGAUUUUUAAAAUAUCAGAUGAAUCAAAGGAGAAUUAUCACAGCUCUAUUGAUAAUAAUGAGCUGUUCCUGGAGAUGGAGGCUUGGGAUGGGGAUUCCCAGCAGACUCAGCUUCUGCUGUCACUUCACACUGAUCUGACAGAUGACCUCGAAGGGUCAGAGAAAUUGCAGAGAUCCUUCUAGAAAUACCUAUUUGUAAGUUAGGCACCUACAUCUCUUCAAUCACCUGCAUGACUUAAACCCAUAGACUUCCCUGAAAGAUGAGAGCACUUUGCUUCAAGUCCUUUGGUGUUCUGCAAUUGCUACUUCUGAACAGCUGUCUCAAAGUCAAGUUACCACUUAAAUCUACAAAUACCUGCCUAACAAGGCAGUAAAGCCUACAUACAUCUUUUUGACAGGGUGGCAGAGUUUCCCUGCAUAUGCCAAGUACCUCAGGGAAGAAAGACCGGUCCCCUGUUACACUUUGGAACCUAUUAAGAAAUAACAGUACAUCUAAGAAAUACACAGCAAUUCUGAAAUCAUGAAUGUUUUAAUGCAUGGCUUCCUUCAGACUCACUGUAAUUAGAGCUGAGCCUCUGCUAUCCUUUGAGGAGUUCUGUUUCAGCUCCCUUUGCCUGCUCCUUAAAAUUCAAAGAAACAGAAAGAGGAACAAAGGAAGGGGAAAGACAGUGAAUCCUAAUGUCCAUGUAAAGACAACUGCAGUGCCCAAGUGUGCCAUCCCCUAUUUAAGAUUACUGGUAUAUCUACUAAGAUAGGCAUGAGAAGACCAGCUCUGAGCCUAGAAGAUGUGGAGCAACUGGCUGACUGAUGCACCCUACUUGGCAGAGUCUCCCUAUGUGAGGUUCAUGACUGCCAUGCACUGAGCAGCACAUUUCUGGAUGUCUCAAGAGAAGAAUGGACAAAUGGGGUUCUUUCUACACCUAUUUGUGUCCUCAUGUGUCCAAUUUUAAGCUCCCUUCCUAAAAAAACCCAGCCAAACACUGUUGACUCUGCCUGUCUCUAAACUGCUGCAAAACAGCCUUAGCCUGCAGCAUCUUUCUGCAUGUGUUCUCUCAACAAGAAGACCAUUCACACUCCUGUAAGUAUGAAAAUAAGUGAACUGGAAUAGACAAAAUCUAGUCUUUCCCUGUGGAAUCACCCUUUUUUGUGGGGUUUUGUUGUUGUUAUUGCAGCUGUCAUACAAAAUAAUAUUCCAUCACUGAAGGGGAUGCUGUAGAUUGUCCAUAUUUUGCUGCUGAGGGAAGAGCAGUACACCCUUGCCUUAAAGGAAGAACACCUGCCAAAGGGUACACCUGAACAAAAAGAGGUACACCUGGCUCUGGGCCACACUACAUAACAUGGGCUUGUGAACGUAUUGCUACACUGCUGUCACACUCCUUCAGUAUUUUAACUUCUCCAGCAGCUUCUGGAUGGCUGACAGUCAGUAUCGGAUUGCUGAGAGCACUGCAAAGUUUGUGCACUGCAAUGUAUUCAGUCAGCACAGAGACUCAUUUAUUUUCCCUUAAUGAGAUAACUGGUUGAUUAAUAUACUUUACCCUGGGGUGCACAGCAGAUUUAUUUCCUUCCCAGCUACAUGCUGAACACAGGAAUGAGGAGUAAACAAGUUUGUUUUCAGUUAUUUGUUAUUUAGUGGAACAAUUCCUGAUCUUUUUACCCAAGCUUUAUUCUAGCAAACUAAUGUUGAAGCUAUGUGCAAUUCUGACUAUAUGAACUCCUAAUUUCAGUAUCUGAAUGCUAUUUUUUUUUUAUGUACACAGGCUGAAGUGUUGCUACCAGCAAGGGCAGUGAUCCCCUUCUCAUUCUACAAGAGUUCUUGACACAAAGAGUUGCUACAUGGAUUGCCAAAGCUCACUAAAACUUCUUGAAGAUACUCAGAAAUGACACUCAGUUCUUCAGGACCACCAACUGAAUAAGACAAUACACCUGCUCCUUGCUUUGCAGAAAUACCAGGGCUAGACUCCACCAGCAGGUUAGAAGUGUGGGAGAAAACUCACAACCAUAAACCACAAUGUACUUGAAGCCAACAAUUUCUUCACACAUAUUUAACUUCAUGGACUGGGAGCACAUACAUUAGAAUGCAGCAAACAAAUCUAUACUUGACAUUUAUCUGUCAAGGAGAGUAUUUGUGUAAUUAAAUCAAUCUUGCAUGACAUGGAGGGAUGGCAUCUGAUGACCCACCAGAGUUCUCUUUCAAGCUCAAAGUAAAGUAUAUAGAUCAAUUCUCCUAAAAAACUUGUAAAACAGAUUAAGCAUUCAUGUACAUUUGCCACCUAUAAACCCUAAGGGAUUUUUACUCCGCCUGUGAGUUCCUCAUCUUUUUAAAUGGCAUCUGAAUACUUCUGACUAAGAUGUCAUUAGAGGAGCUAAAAUUGGUGCAGACCCCCAGAAGUUAUUUUGAUCUGUUUUCUUCCAGAUGCUGAAAUAAAUUUGCACCUUGCUUCUGUCCAAAACCA